GACGAACGCUGGCGGCGUGCUUAACACAUGCAAGUCGAACGGUGAAGCGCCUUCCUUUUUGGUGGGUGUGGAUGAGUGGCGAACGGGUGAGUAACACGUGAGUAACCUGCCCCCUUCUUCUGGAUAACCGCAUGAAAGUGUGGCUAAUACGGGAUAUUCUGGGUCUGUCGCAUGAUGGGUCUGGGAAAGAUAUUGUUUCGGUGGGGGAUGGGCUCGCGGCCUAUCAGCUUGUUGGUGGGGUGAUGGCCUACCAAGGCGGUGACGGGUAGCCGGCCUGAGAGGGUGGACGGUCACACGGGGACUGAGACACGGCCCAGACUCCUACGGGAGGCAGCAGUGGGGAAUAUUGCACAAUGGGCGCAAGCGUGAUGCAGCGACGCCGCGUGAGGGAUGGAGGCCUGCGGGUUGUGAACCUCUUUCGCCAGUGAAGCAGGCCUGCCUCGUUUGUGGGUGGGUUGACGGUAGCUGGAUAAGAAGCGCCGGCUAACUACGUG
rnacentral:rRNA from 1 species